GCCCGCCUAGCUCAGUUGGUAGAGCAGCGGUUUUGUAAACCGAAGGUCGCUGGUUCGAACCCGGCGGCGGGCACCA
rnacentral:tRNA from 1 species